GCCCGGCUGGCGCAAUGGUAGCGCGCAAGACUGUGUGUAACCCCGUUUCCAAGUUAACCGUUCGUGUGCUCACCCCCCCACGGUCUAGUGAAGAGUAAUCUUGAGGCUGCGGGUUCGACCCCCGCGUUGGGCU